rnacentral:rRNA from 1 species
GUGUGUACUGGCCUGCCCGCUCUUCCUUCCGGUUUGCAGGCGGCUUCCCUUCGCUGGGCGGCCGUCGUGCUCCGGAUCGUUUACUGUGAAAAAAUUAGAGUGUUUAAAGCAGACUUUACGUCGUCUUGAAUACAUUAGCAUGGGAUAAUGGAAUAGGCUCUUGCGCCUAUUUUGUUGGUUUCUAGGGGCGAGAGAAUGAUCAAUGGGAAUAGUCGGGGGUAUUCAUAUUUAAUUGUCAGAGGUGAAAUUCUUGGAUUUAUGAAAGAUGAACAUCUGCGAAAGCAUCUAUCAAGGAUGUUUUCAUCGAUCAAGAACGAAAGUUAGGGGAUCGAAGACGAUCAGAUACCGUCGUAGUCUUAACCAUAAACUAUGCCGACCAGGGAUUGGGAGACGUUCCAUGUAUGACUCGCCCAGCACCUUGAGAGAAAUCACAAGUCUUUGGGUUCCGGGGGGAGUAUGGUCGCAAGUCUGAAACUUAAAGGAAUUGACGGAAGGGCACCACCAGGAGUGGAGCCUGCGGCUUAAUUUGACUCAACACGGGAAAACUUACCAGGUCCAGACAUAGUAAGGAUUGACAGAUUGAGAGCUCUUUCUUGAUUCUAUGGGUGGUGGUGCAUGGGCCGUUCUUAGUUGGUGGAGUGAUUUGUCUGGUUAAUUCCGAUAACGAACGAGACCUCAGCCUGCUAACUAGUCAUGCGAACCGUCUGAUACGGGUGAAGGCCGGGCACGGCUCGG